rnacentral:rRNA from 1 species
UGCCUAAUACAUGCAAGUCGAACGAGUUCUGAUUAUUGAAAGGUGCUUGCAUCUUGAUUUAAUUUUGAACGAGUGGCGGACGGGUGAGUAACACGUGGGUAACCUGCCCUUAAGUGGGGGAUAACAUUUGGAAACAGAUGCUAAUACCGCAUAAAUCCAAGAACCGCAUGGUUCUUGGCUGAAAGAUGGCGUAAGCUAUCGCUUUUGGAUGGACCCGCGGCGUAUUAGCUAGUUGGUGAGGUAACGGCUCACCAAGGCAAUGAUACGUAGCCGAACUGAGAGGUUGAUCGGCCACAUUGGGACUGAGACACGGCCCAAACUCCUACGGGAGGCAGCAGUAGGGAAUCUUCCACAAUGGACGCAAGUCUGAUGGAGCAACGCCGCGUGAGUGAAGAAGGCUUUCGGGUCGUAAAACUCUGUUGUUGGAGAAGAAUGGUCGGCAGAGUAACUGUUGUCGGCGUGACGGUAUCCAACCAGAAAGCCACGGCUAACUACGUGCCAGCAGCCGCGGUAAUACGUAGGUGGCAAGCGUUAUCCGGAUUUAUUGGGCGUAAAGCGAGCGCAGGCGGUUUUUUAAGUCUGAUGUGAAAGCCCUCGGCUUAACCGAGGAAGUGCAUCGGAAACUGGGAAACUUGAGUGCAGAAGAGGACAGUGGAACUCCAUGUGUAGCGGUGAAAUGCGUAGAUAUAUGGAAGAACACCAGUGGCGAAGGCGGCUGUCUGGUCUGUAACUGACGCUGAGGCUCGAAAGCAUGGGUAGCGAACAGGAUUAGAUACCCUGGUAGUCCAUGCCGUAAACGAUGAAUGCUAGGUGUUGGAGGGUUUCCGCCCUUCAGUGCCGCAGCUAACGCAUUAAGCAUUCCGCCUGGGGAGUACGACCGCAAGGUUGAAACUCAAAGGAAUUGACGGGGGCCCGCACAAGCGGUGGAGCAUGUGGUUUAAUUCGAAGCAACGCGAAGAACCUUACCAGGUCUUGACAUCUUUUGAUCACCUGAGAGAUCAGGUUUCCCCUUCGGGGGCAAAAUGACAGGUGGUGCAUGGUUGUCGUCAGCUCGUGUCGUGAGAUGUUGGGUUAAGUCCCGCAACGAGCGCAACCCUUAUGACUAGUUGCCAGCAUUUAGUUGGGCACUCUAGUAAGACUGCCGGUGACAAACCGGAGGAAGGUGGGGAUGACGUCAAAUCAUCAUGCCCCUUAUGACCUGGGCUACACACGUGCUACAAUGGAUGGUACAACGAGUUGCGAGACCGCGAGGUCAAGCUAAUCUCUUAAAGCCAUUCUCAGUUCGGACUGUAGGCUGCAACUCGCCUACACGAAGUCGGAAUCGCUAGUAAUCGCGGAUCAGCACGCCGCGGUGAAUACGUUCCCGGGCCUUGUACACACCGCCCGUCACACCAUGAGAGUUUGUAACACCCGAAGCCGGUGGCGUAACCCUUUUAGGGAGCGAGCCGUCUAAGGUGGGACAAAUGAUUAGGGUGAA